rnacentral:rRNA from 1 species
GAUGAACGCUGGCGGCGUGCCUAAUACGUGCAAGUCGAGCGAACGGACGAGAAGCUUGCUUUUCUGAUGUUAGCGGCGGACGGGUGAGUAACACGUGGAUAACCUACCUAUAAGACUGGGAUAACUUCGGGAAACCGGAGCUAAUACCGGAUAAUAUUUUGAACCGCAUGGUUCAAAAGUGAAAGACGGUCUUGCUGUCACUUAUAGAUGGAUCCGCGCUGCAUUAGCUAGUUGGUAAGGUAACGGCUUACCAAGGCAACGAUGCAUAGCCGACCUGAGAGGGUGAUCGGCCACACUGGAACUGAGACACGGUCCAGACUCCUACGGGAGGCAGCAGUAGGGAAUCUUCCGCAAUGGGCGAAAGCCUGACGGAGCAACGCCGCGUGAGUGAUGAAGGUCUUCGGAUCGUAAAACUCUGUUAUUAGGGAAGAACAUAUGUGUAAGUAACUGUGCACAUCUUGACGGUACCUAAUCAGAAAGCCACGGCUAACUACGUGCCAGCAGCCGCGGUAAUACGUAGGUGGCAAGCGUUAUCCGGAAUUAUUGGGCGUAAAGCGCGCGUAGGCGGUUUUUUAAGUCUGAUGUGAAAGCCCACGGCUCAACCGUGGAGGGUCAUUGGAAACUGGAAAACUUGAGUGCAGAAGUGGAAAGUGGAAUUCCAUGUGUAGCGGUGAAAUGCGCAGAGAUGUGGAGGAACACCAGUGGCGAAGGCGACUUUCUGGUCUGUAACUGACGCUGAUGUGCGAAAGCGUGGGGAUCAAACAGGAUUAGAUACCCUGGUAGUCCACGCCGUAAACGAUGAGUGCUAAGUGUUAGGGGGUUUCCGCCCCUUAGUGCUGCAGCUAACGCAUUAAGCACUCCGCCUGGGGAGUACGACCGCAAGGUUGAAACUCAAAGGAAUUGACGGGGGCCCGCACAAGCGGUGGAGCAUGUGGUUUAAUUCGAAGCAACGCGAAGAACCUUACCAAAUCUUGACAUCCUUUGACAACUCUAGAGAUAGAGCCUUCCCCUUCGGGGGACAAAGUGACAGGUGGUGCAUGGUUGUCGUCAGCUCGUGUCGUGAGAUGUUGGGUUAAGUCCCGCAACGAGCGCAACCCUUAAGCUUAGUUGCCAUCAUUAAGUUGGGCACUCUAAGUUGACUGCCGGUGACAAACCGGAGGAAGGUGGGGAUGACGUCAAAUCAUCAUGCCCCUUAUGAUUUGGGCUACACACGUGCUACAAUGGACAAUACAAAGGGCAGCGAAACCGCGAGGUCAAGCAAAUCCCAUAAAGUUGUUCUCAGUUCGGAUUGUAGUCUGCAACUCGACUACAUGAAGCUGGAAUCGCUAGUAAUCGUAGAUCAGCAUGCUACGGUGAAUACGUUCCCGGGUCU